UACUUAAUAAGCAAGACCCAGCGCACUCUGACCUGAAGAAUGUUGGGGUUUACAUACUCGCUCCAUUACUUGUUGUGUUCCUCCUUGCUUGCAUAAUUGUUGGAUUCAUCAUAUACAAGAGGCAGCAGCAACAACCUCUUAUUGGUGCGCAAGAGUCGCCUACACAACCUGAAGAGAGGAGAUCCCGCUGGAACAGAUUUUCAAGGCGAUUUACGAGAUCUGAAGGAAGAGCAGCUUGGAAUAACCAGGCAAACAGGAGUGAUAUCAG